rnacentral:rRNA from 1 species
AUUGAACGCUGGCGGCAUGCCUUACACAUGCAAGUCGAACGGUAACAGGUUAAGCUGACGAGUGGCGAACGGGUGAGUAAUGUAUCGGAACGUGCCCAGUCGUGGGGGAUAACGUAGCGAAAGCUACGCUAAUACCGCAUACGAUCUACGGAUGAAAGCGGGGGAUCGCAAGACCUCGCGCGAUUGGAGCGGCCGAUAUCAGAUUAGGUUGUUGGUGAGGUAAAAGCUCACCAAGCCUGCGAUCUGUAGCUGGUCUGAGAGGACGACCAGCCACACUGGAACUGAGACACGGUCCAGACUCCUACGGGAGGCAGCAGUGGGGAACUUUGGACAAUGGACGCAAGUCUGAUCCAGCAAUGCCGCGUGCAGGACGAAGGCCUUCGGGUUGUAAACUGCUUUUGUACGGAUCGAAACGGUGAGCUCUAAUACAGUUUGCUAAUGACGGUACCGUAAGAAUAAGCACCGGCUAACUACGUGCCAGCCGCCGCCGUAA